rnacentral:rRNA from 1 species
GACGAACGCUGGCGGCGUGCUUAACACAUGCAAGUCGAACGGAAAGGCCCUGCUUUUGUGGGGUGCUCGAGUGGCGAACGGGUGAGUAACACGUGAGUAACCUGCCCUUGACUUUGGGAUAACUUCAGGAAACUGGGGCUAAUACCGGAUAGGAGCUCCUGCUGCAUGGUGGGGGUUGGAAAGUUUCGGCGGUUGGGGAUGGACUCGCGGCUUAUCAGCUUGUUGGUGGGGUAGUGGCUUACCAAGGCUUUGACGGGUAGCCGGCCUGAGAGGGUGACCGGCGACAUUGGGACUGAGAUACGGCCCAGACUCCUACGGGAGGCAGCAGUGGGGAAUAUUGCACAAUGGGCGGAAGCCUGAUGCAGCAACGCCGCGUGCGGGGUGACGGCCUUCGGGUUGUAAACCGCUUUCGCCUGUGACGAAGCGUGAGUGACGGUAAUGGGUAAAGAAGCACCGGCUAACUACGUG